UACGUAGGGGGCAAGCGUUGUCCGGAAUCAUUGGGCGUAAAGCGCGUGUAGGCGGUUCAGUAAGUCUGCUGUGAAAGUCCAGGGCUCAACCCUGGGAUGCCGGUGGAUACUGCUGGGCUAGAGUCCGGAAGAGGAGAUUGGAAUUCCUGGUGUAGCGGUGAAAUGCGCAGAUAUCAGGAGGAACACCAACAGCGAAGGCAGAUCUCUGGGACGUGACUGACGCUGAGACGCGAAAGCGUGGGGAGCAAACAGG
rnacentral:rRNA from 1 species